GUUCAUUCAUUAGUUAUUGACGUUUAAAUUUGCAAUUGGAAUUACAUGGGAUUGGUUAGGAUUCGGUUUAGGAUUUGAUUUAGGAUUAGGAUUUGGUUUAGGACUUGAUUUAAGAUUAGAAUUAGGAUUUUGGAUUGAUUUAAGAUUUGAUUGGAAUUAAGAGUUUUUUAGAAUUUGAUUAGGAUUUGACUAAGAUUUAAUUAAGACUUAUUUAGGAUUUCAUUAGAAUUUGGUUAGAAUUAAGAUUUGGUUAGGUUUUAGGAUUUAGUUAAGAUUAGGAUUUGAUUAGGAUUAGGAUUUGAUUAGGAUUAGGAUUUGAUUAAGAAUAGGAUUUGGUUUGAUUUAGGAUUUGGUUUGGAUUUCUUUAGGAUUUCUUUAGGAUUU
rnacentral:lncRNA from 1 species